CCUAGAAUGGAUCGAUAGUGUGUAUUCUCGGGCUAGUAACAGAAGCGAUUGCAUCUUUGUUUUUCAUCUUCGCCGAUGAAUGGAAUACAAAUUGUUGAGAAAAAAAAAAAAUAAAUUUCAAUGUUAUUGCUUGAGAAUACACUUUAUCGGUUCGAAGACUAC
rnacentral:misc_RNA from 12 species